rfam:Pteropus alecto contig65100, whole genome shotgun sequence.
GUCUAUGGCCAUGCUCCCCUGAACAACCCUGAUCCUGGCUGAUCUUGGAAGCUAAGCAGGGUCAGGCCUGGUUAGUACUUGGAUGGGAGACCACCUAGGCAGACCAGGUGUUGUAGGUG